AGAGUUUGAUUCUGGCUCAGGAUGAACGCUAGCGAUAGGCCUAACACAUGCAAGUCGAGGGGCAGCACAUGAAGUAGCAAUACGGAUGGUGGCGACCGGCGCACGGGUGAGUAACACGUAUGCAACCUGCCUACAACAGGGGAAUAACCCGUUGAAAGACGGACUAAUACCCCAUAACACAGGGAUCCCGCAUGGGAAUAUUUGUUAAAGAUUUAUCGGUUGUAGAUGGGCAUGCGUUCCAUUAGCUGGUUGGUGAGGUAACGGCUCACCAAGGCAACGAUGGAUAGGGGAACUGAGAGGUUUAUCCCCCACACUGGUACUGAGACACGGACCAGACUCCUACGGGAGGCAGCAGUGAGGAAUAUUGGUCAAUGGACGCAAGUCUGAACCAGCCACGUCGCGUGAAGGAAGACGGCCCUACGGGUUGUAAACUUCUUUUGUAAGGGAAUAAAGUGUAGUACGUGUACUAUUUUGCAUGUACCUUACGAAUAAGGAUCGGCUAACUCCGUGCCAGCAGCCGCGGUAAUACGGAGGAUCCGAGCGUUAUCCGGAUUUAUUGGGUUUAAAGGGUGCGCAGGCGGGAGAUUAAGUCGGCGGUGAAAUUUUGCAGCUCAACUGUAAAAGUGCCUUCGAAACUGGUUUCCUUGAGUGUGGAUGAAGUAGGCGGAAUUUGUGGUGUAGCGGUGAAAUGCAUAGAUAUCACGAGGAACUCCGAUUGCGCAGGCAGCUUACUAAACCAUAACUGACGCUCAGGCACGAAGGCGUGGGGAUCAAACAGGAUUAGAUACCCUGGUAGUC
rnacentral:rRNA from 1 species